rnacentral:rRNA from 1 species
AGCGAACGCUGGCGGCAGGCCUAACACAUGCAAGUCGAACGAAGUCUUCGGACUUAGUGGCGGACGGGUGAGUAACCCGUGGGAACGUACCUUUUGGUUCGGAACAACUCAGGGAAACUUGAGCUAAUACCGGAUGAGCCCUUAGGGGGAAAGAUUUAUCGCCGAAAGAGCGGCCCGCGUUAGAUUAGCUAGUUGGUGAGGUAAAGGCUCACCAAGGCUACGAUCUAUAGCUGGUCUGAGAGAAUGAUCAGCCACACUGGGACUGAGACACGGCCCAGACUCCUACGGGAGGCAGCAGUGGGGAAUCUUGCGCAAUGGGCGAAAGCCUGACGCAGCCAUGCCGCGUGAAUGAUGAAGGUCUUAGGAUUGUAAAAUUCUUUUACCAGGGACGAUAAUGACGGUACCUGGAGAAAAAGCCCCGGCUAACUUCGUGCCAGCCGCCGCGGUAAAAC